rnacentral:rRNA from 1 species
CCCCUAGAUGUUCUGGGCCGCACGCGCGCUACACUGAACAGUUCAACAAGUCUUAACCUUGGCCGAUAGGUCUGGGUAAUCUUUGAACGCUGUUCGUGAUUGGGAUAGACCUUUGCAAUUAUGGGUCUUCAACGAGGAAUUCCUAGUAAACGCAAGUCAUCAGCUUGCAUUGAUUACGUCCCUGCCCUUUGUACACACCGCCCGUCGCACCUACCGAUUGAAUGGUCCGGUGAAAUCUCGGGGCGGCGGCUUGGUCGCUUGCGUCCGACUGCUGAAACUUGAUUAAACCAUAUCAUUUAGAGGAAGGUGAAGUCGUAACA